rnacentral:rRNA from 1 species
AAAUUGAAGAGUUUGAUCAUGGCUCAGAUUGAACGCUGGCGGCAGGCCUAACACAUGCAAGUCGAACGGUAACAGGAAGCAGCUUGCUGCUUCGCUGACGAGUGGCGGACGGGUGAGUAAUGUCUGGGAAACUGCCUGAUGGAGGGGGAUAACUACUGGAAACGGUGGCUAAUACCGCAUAACGUCGCAAGACCAAAGAGGGGGACCUUCGGGCCUCUUGCCAUCAGAUGUGUCCAGAU